AUGAACUCACCAGAGGCGUCCUGGGUUACUCAAUGCAGAGACUCUUACCCAGGGUGUCAGCCUCUGAAAGAUACACGUGCCUGGGCCUCUUUCCUGAAGAUGGACCCAGCAGGUCUGGAGGGAGGGCCCUGUGAUGCACCCUGUGAUAAGCCGCUGAUCCGCGCUGCGUGGAACCUCAGCGGGGGUGUGAGCUAUCAGGAACCUGCCGCUGGACUGCAGCGACCAGGAGAAUACGGGUUCUAUACCCUAUCAUCUUUACUUUGUUGGAGAGGAGCUGUAAUAGUCUAUGUUAAAGUUACUGUUCAGACAAAGGAUUCCAACAAAUUGCUUUCAUUACUUUAUUGGUAA